rnacentral:siRNA from 1 species
CUACCAUCUGGAAUACUUGAA